CAAGGAGUAAAAGUGACGAAAACGCCGGGGGAAGUAGUAUACACUAUUCAACACAGCCCUUUUUGCUGUCGAUCAUCGAUUCAAACGAGGAGUGAGCGGGCCCCGAAAGGUGCACUUGUUAGUGUAGUGUCGUGUAGUGUAUGUGCUUUUCUCAAACAAUUCCAGAAACCACUUCUUGCAAGCAGCAGCAGCAGCCCCGCCGUCUUUGUCUCUCGGUGAUAUCGGCGGACUGAGACCGGGAGGGGAUUUUGGAAUGUAUUUUGUUUGCCCAGUACCGGUCCGUACUCCCGAACACAAAACGCCACCGUCCUUGUUUCGCGACGGACAAGUUGGUGUCGUGUUGAAGGCGAAAUUGCCUCGCUGAAUCGCAAUGUUUUCUUUUCCAAAUAAGCAAAAAAAAAAGAAAGAGCCCUAAUGUGAGGCGAUGCCAACGGUUGCGGCGCGGCUUGUUUUCGUUGCUUUGCUUUCAGGGCGGCGGGCCUUGCACAACGCUUGUCUUGUCUUGUUCGUUUCUCGCUUGCUGAGGCCGGCGCCCCCUGUCCAGUGUCCGUAGUUCCCCCUCCACCCCCUGGCUCAGGGGUAAAACACACAGAGCACUGACGAGAUCUUUCACUCAAUUCACCCUGCCCAGGGAAAAUCACACACACACGGGCGGGACAGUGAAAAGCCAAGUUUGUAAUGACUUUUGUGUGUCCGUGCCUGCGCCUCGCUGCUUCUGGACCGGACUGGAUUGGAUUGUAGUCUGCCUUCUCGGUCCGUUACACCAUCUGGUAACGGUCUGGUCUUGUACUCGCUAGCGUUCUAGCGUAGUAAAAGGCAUUUCCGGAGUCUAUUGUAGUGUAGGUACGGUCUCGUGAAAUUUUGGGUCUGGGCGUUCGUUUCUGCUUGUGUAGUGUAAGGCCAGGGCCAGAUCCAGAGAGCAACGGGGCCACAGGGGGGAAGAUUGUAUGUCUCGGGACAAGAUUAGGUCUUGGUUGAGAGACAACCAGAUGCACACACCGUGUGUGAUGUGUUCGAGUCAGAAAAUGGCAGCGGUGCGGUCUUGUCCGGUAGACCUUUGUAGACUACAGCUCCGCUUCACCAAAGGAGGGGUCACGCGAGCAGCGCAAUCAGCAUGUGAGCGGGUUCUGGAGACUGCCUCGGUUGUUCCGAGUAUGACGACGGUGACGGAAUAAACGACUCGCUUAAACAAGUCUUUUUCAUCGCUCGAGUUGCUUACGAAUCGUGGAAUGGAACGUCGUUGAAGGUGGAAGAUCGGCCUCGUCCUUAGUUUUGGCUACCGCAGUGUCGAUUUGGCU